rnacentral:rRNA from 1 species
CUGAGUACGGCGGAACACGUGAAAUUCCGUCGGAAUCCGGGAGGACCAUCUCCCAAGGCUAAAUACUCCCUAGUGACCGAUAGUGAACCAGUACCGUGAGGGAAAGGUGAAAAGCACCCCGGAAGGGGAGUGAAACAGUUCCUGAAACCGUGUGCCUACAAGUAGUUAGAGCCCGUUAAUGGGUGAUAGCGUGCCUUUUGUAGAAUGAACCGGCGAGUUACGAUUUGUUGCAAGGUUAAGCGGAAAAAGCGGAGCCGUAGCGAAAGCGAGUCUGAAUAGGGCGCAUAAGUAACAGGUCGUAGACCCGAAACCAGGUGAUCUACCCAUGUCCAGGAUGAAGGUAAGGUAAUACUUACUGGAGGUCCGAACCCACGCACGUUGAAAAGUGCGGGGAUGAGGUGUGGGUAGCGGAGAAAUUCCAAUCGAACUUGGAGAUAGCUGGUUCUCUCCGAAAUAGCUUUAGGGCUAGCCUCGAGGUAAAGAGUCAUGGAGGUAGAGCACUGUUUGGACUAGGGGCCCUUCUCGGGUUACCGAAUUCAGAUAAACUCCGAAUGCCAUGUACUUAUACUCGGGAGUCAGACUGCGAGUGAUAAGAUCCGUAGUCGAAAGGGAAACAGCCCAGACCACCAGUUAAGGUCCCCAAAUAUAUGUUAAGUGGAAAAGGAUGUGGGGUUGCUUAGACAACCAGGAUGUUGGCUUAGAAGCAGCCACCAUUGAAAGAGUGCGUAAUAGCUCACUGGUCGAGUGACCCCGCGCCGAAAAUGUACCGGGGCUAAACAUAUUACCGAAACUGUGGAUGAACCUCUUUAGAGGUUCGUGGUAGGAGAGCGUUCUAAGGGCGGUGAAGUCAGACCGGAAGGACUGGUGGAGCGCUUAGAAGUGAGAAUGCCGGUAUGAGUAGCGAAAGAAGGGUGAGAAUCCCUUCCACCGAAUAUCUAAGGUUUCCUGAGGAAGGCUCGUCCGCUCAGGGUUAGUCGGGACCUAAGCCGAGGCCGAUAGGCGUAGGCGAUGGACAACAGGUAGAGAUUCCUGUACCAGUGCUAAUUGUUUAACCGAUGGGGUGACACAGAAGGAUAGGGAAUCGCACGAAUGGAAAUGUGCGUCCAAGCAGUGAGUGUGAGAAGUAGGCAAAUCCGCUUCUCGCGAAGCAUGAGCUGUGAUGGGGAAGGAAAUUAAGUACGGAAGUUCCUGAUUUCACGCUGUCAAGAAAAGCCUCUAGGAAGAG